rnacentral:rRNA from 1 species
GACGAACGCUGGCGGCGUGCUUAACACAUGCAAGUCGAACGAUGAUCCGGUGCUUGCACCGGGGAUUAGUGGCGAACGGGUGAGUAACACGUGAGUAACCUGCCCUUGACUCUGGGAUAAGCCUGGGAAACCGGGUCUAAUACCGGAUACGACCUGUCACCGCAUGGUGGUGGGUGGAAAGAUUUUUUGGUUUUGGAUGGACUCGCGGCCUAUCAGCUUGUUGGUGAGGUAAUGGCUCACCAAGGCGACGACGGGUAGCCGGCCUGAGAGGGUGACCGGCCACACUGGGACUGAGACACGGCCCAGACUCCUACGGGAGGCAGCAGUGGGGAAUAUUGCACAAUGGGCGAAAGCCUGAUGCAGCGACGCCGCGUGAGGGAUGACGGCCUUCGGGUUGUAAACCUCUUUCAGCAGGGAAGAAGCGAAAGUGACGGUACCUGCAGAAGAAGCGCCGGCUAACUACGUGCCAGCAGCCGCGGUAAUACGUAGGGCGCAAGCGUUGUCCGGAAUUAUUGGGCGUAAAGAGCUCGUAGGCGGUUUGUCGCGUCUGCUGUGAAAGCCCGGGGCUCAACCCCGGGUCUGCAGUGGGUACGGGCAGACUAGAGUGCAGUAGGGGGAGACUGGAAUUCCUGGUGUAGCGGUGAAAUGCGCAGAUAUCAGGAGGAACACCCGAUGGCGAAGGCAGGUCUCUGGGCUGUAACUGACGCUGAGGAGCGAAAGCAUGGGGAGCGAACAGGAUUAGAUACCCUGGUAGUCCAUGCCGUAAACGUUGGGCACUAGGUGUGGGGGACAUUCCACGUUUUCCGCGCCGUAGCUAACGCAUUAAGUGCCCCGCCUGGGGAGUACGGCCGCAAGGCUAAAACUCAAAGGAAUUGACGGGGGCCCGCACAAGCGGCGGAGCAUGCGGAUUAAUUCGAUGCAACGCGAAGAACCUUACCAAGGCUUGACAUGGACCGGACCGCCGCAGAAAUGCGGUUUCCCUUCGGGGCUGGUUUACAGGUGGUGCAUGGUUGUCGUCAGCUCGUGUCGUGAGAUGUUGGGUUAAGUCCCGCAACGAGCGCAACCCUCGUUCUAUGUUGCCAGCGCGUUAUGGCGGGGACUCAUAGGAGACUGCCGGGGUCAACUCGGAGGAAGGUGGGGACGACGUCAAAUCAUCAUGCCCCUUAUGUCUUGGGCUUCACGCAUGCUACAAUGGCCGGUACAAAGGGUUGCGAUACUGUGAGGUGGAGCUAAUCCCAAAAAGCCGGUCUCAGUUCGGAUUGAGGUCUGCAACUCGACCUCAUGAAGUCGGAGUCGCUAGUAAUCGCAGAUCAGCAACGCUGCGGUGAAUACGUUCCCGGGCCUUGUACACACCGCCCGUCAAGUCACGAAAGUUGGUAACACCCGAAGCCGGUGGCCUAACCCCUUGUGGGAGGGAGCCGUCGAAGGUGGGACCGGCGAUUGGGACU